AUCAUAUGGGAAACUGAAGACCAAGAUCAACAGAUCUUACAAAUUUAGUAAACUUCAGAUCUGGAACUAGAAGCUAGGAGAUACUGAGAGGAGGCCAAGCAGGACCUGUCAGAGGCGAUGCAGCUCGGGCCUCAUGGAUGGCUCAUCGUGUCUCUGUGAACGGAUGCGACAAUCAGCCACUGUGCAGUACUGAGAGUGGCUCUGCUGGCUGGGCCAGGUCUCACUGCCCGGGUCUCUCAACCCUGCUGCUCUACACUACCAUGGCACUCUGCCAGCAAGACGCUAUGCCAGAUGGGGCCCCCACUCUGCCUUGAGCUGAAAUCGCAAGCCAAAAUAUGCAUUUUUUUCUUUAUCAUUCACCCAGUGUGUGGUAUUGCUAUUAGCAACAGAAAACAGGUUGGGGCAGGGUGGGUUUAUGUUCUGCUAUGUGACUGGCUGCUGCUCCUGAUGUCCUACUCGCCUAGACUAUUGCUUUCACCUUAUCUCGAUGGAGCCUGAUCCAACUGCUCUUGUCCAUGUCCUGUACUCUGCCAGACACCAUGAAAUUCAAGAAACCACAUCCUAGAUCUGAUGAAAGGAGAUGCAAGGCUCACUAUCAGCUGUGUACUGAUGGUACUGCAUCCCUAAUUACUUCACUAUCUUUCUGAUUAGAGUCAUAUAACACUAGGCUGAAAGGAAGAGAGAAAAGAGCACUCAUUCCCCAUGAAGGGAAGGUGAAGAAAGGAUUAGCAGAAGAACUUAAGAACACCCCAAGUUUAUUGGUCGUUGUCUUACUAGUCAAGGGAAAUUUGUUCAUCUCCAUACCAGAGAGAGAAAAAUGAGCUUAUCAUGCUUAUUAGCUGCAUGUUUAGGUGCCUAGCCUAUCUCAAGAAAACAUUACCAUAUCAGUAAUUUUGGAAAAGGCAUUCAAUUUUAGAGUCUUUGGCUUUCCUCUUGCAAAAUGAAAAUCGACUAAAAGGUGAUCAGUAAGAUUCUUCCUACCUCUCAAAUGCAGUGAUACUAUGAAAUACAACCAUUAUCUAAUAGUUACUUUUGAAAUAUACUAUUCAUUUAGCAAGUAUGUAUUGGGAACUAUUGAGAACAUACUGUACCUGUAUAGAAAAUAAUGCCUACCCUCAGAAAGUUCACAGUAUAGUACAGGGGAUACACAAACGCUUGUCAUCCACUGUGGGAUGUGCUACAAGAGAGGGAUCUAUUAAAGUUGGUGUAAGUACCAAGACAAUAUACCUAACUCCCAUGAGGAACACAAAAACAUUUCAACUGGGUCUCGAUAAUCAGAAAGAAAAGGUUGUUCAGGCAGAGGAACAAAGAUGGGUACACAGAAUCGCACAUUAUUUUGUGCCACUUGGCGUGUAGGUUUCAAGAGGCUGAGAAAGUGCAAUUGCCUGGAGAUGAGGCUGGAAACUGAGUGGGCCAGUGCAUGUAAAUCCUAGAAGUUAUGCUAAGCAGUUUGGACCUCCUCCUGCAACAGGGCUUCCCCAACUCAUCACUGCACUAAAAUUGCCCUUGUAGAUCUCAUUUACAUGCAGAUUCUAAUUCAAUUAGUUUGAGGUAGAGCCAGAUAUUCUGGUUUUCUAAUGAACCCCAAAUGAUGCCUGCAUCACUGGUUAUGGACCACACUUUGAGUGGGAAGUUUGUUGUACAAGGAAGUGAUGUGGUGAAAUUGUUUUUAGGAGAGAUCACUCCAUGAAUGAGUAGGAAGUGAAAUGAAAAAACAAUAAGAGUACUAAUAGAGAAAAAAAUUAGGAAGCUAUUAAAAUAAUAAAGGCCAAACAAGAACUGAACAGUAGCAGCAGAAAUGGAAAGGAGGGGAUAGCUUCAAGCUAUAUUUAAGAGGUAGAAUGGCCAGGCCUUGGUGACCAGUCAGCUGUGACAGGCAAGGGAGGAAGAGGAGUCCAUACAAGAAUCCAGUAGUUGGGGUGGGGAUUUAGCUCAGUGGCACCUUGCCUGCCUCAAAAGUGUAAGGUCCUGGGCCCGGGAUUUAGCUCAGUGGUUUCACUGCCUGCUGCGCAAGCAUAAGGACCCGAGUUCGAUCCCCGGUACCAAAAAAACCAAAAAACAAAAAGUAUAAGGUCCUUAGUUCAAUCCCCGGUACCAAAAAAAUAUAGAAUCCAAUAGUCUCACUUAGAUUGAAUUAAAUGAAUAAAAUCUCAUUAAAGAACACCAACCCAAGGAUAAAAAAAGCCUAUGAAAGUAAAUUUGUUAAACUAUUGCUUUUCUUUUCUUUUUUCCAAUUGUUCUGUGUAACCCUGUAAUAUUCUAAGGUUGAUCUCUUGCUAGGUCGUCCAAUGUGGGCAUAACCACACUGGCCACAUGUGACUAAAAUUAAGUUUAUAUUAAGUUUAUUAUUACAU
ensembl:lncRNA